ensembl:misc_RNA Metazoa_SRP Metazoan signal recognition particle RNA
GCCGGGCGUGGUGGCUCACGCCUGUAAUCCCAGCAUUUCGGGAGGCCGAGGUGGGUGGAUCACCUGAGGUCGGGAGUUUGAGACCAGCCUGACCAACAUGGUGAAACCCCAUCUCUA